CAAAAGUUUGGUCCUGACUUUAUUGUCGGCUUUAGCCCAAUUUACACAUGCAAGUAUCCGCAACCCAGUGAAGAUGCCCUCAUCCCUCCUUCCGAGGGAGAGGAGCUGGUAUCAGGCACUCCUGGUGCCCAAGACGCCUUGCUCAGCCACACCCCCAAGGGAAUUCAGCAGUGAUAGAUAUUGAGCCAUUAACGCAAGUUGGACUCAGUUAGGGUUAAAAGGGUCGGUAAAACUCGUGCCAGCCACCGCGGUUAUACGAGAGACCCUAGUUGACACCUUCGGCGUAAAGAGUGGUUAUGGGAAAAUCAACUGGAAAAGAACGCUUCUCUGGCCGUUAUACGCUCCCGGACAGCGGAAUCGCACACGCGAGCACCUCCACCCAAGUCUACCAGAAGCCACGAUAGCCAGGGAACAAACUGGGAUUAGAUACCCCACUAUGCCUGGCCCUAAACAUUGAUGUUACCACACAACAUACAUCCGCCUGGGUACUACGGGCAUCAGCCUAAAACCCAAAGGACUUGGCGGUGUUUCAGACCCCCCUAGAGGAGCCUGUUCUAGAACCGAUAAUCCUCGUUUAACCUCACCAUCCCUGGUCCAACCCGCCUAUAUACCGCCGUCGCCAGCUUACCCUGUGAAGGUAUCAUAGUAAGCAGAAUGGGCACCGCCCAAAACGUCAGGUCGAGGUGUAGCGCACGGGGUGGGAAGAAAUGGGCUACAUUACCUGAUGCAGGUAAUACACGGACUGCUCGCUGAAAAAGAGCACGAAGGUGGAUUUAGCAGUAAGGGGAAAAUAGAGUGCCCCCCUGAAGCAGGCUCUGAAACGCGCACACACCGCCCGUCACUCUCCCCAAAUAGUAAUACAUCCGGUUUUCAACGCAACACACACAACAAGGGGAGGCAAGUCGUAACACGGUAAGUGUACCGGAAGGUGCACUUGGAAUAAU
rnacentral:ncRNA from 1 species